rnacentral:rRNA from 1 species
GAUGAACGCUGGCGGCAUGCUUUACACAUGCAAGUCGAACGGUAACAGGCCUUCGGGUGCUGACGAGUGGCGAACGGGUGAGUAAUGCAUCGGAACGUGCCCAAUCGUGGGGGAUAACGUAGCGAAAGUUACGCUAAUACCGCAUAAGCCCUGAGGGGAAAGCAGGGGAUCGCAAGACCUUGCGCGAAUGGAGCGGCCGAUGUCAGAUUAGCUAGUUGGUGGGGUAAAGGCCUACCAAGGCGACGAUCUGUAGCGGGUCUGAGAGGAUGAUCCGCCACACUGGAACUGAGACACGGUCCAGACUCCUACGGGAGGCAGCAGUGGGGAAUUUUGGACAACGGGCGCAAGCCUGAUCCAGCCAUGCCGCGUGAGUGAAGAAGGCC